rnacentral:rRNA from 1 species
GAUGAACGCUAGCUACAGGCUUAACACAUGCAAGUCGAGGGGUAACGAGAGGAAAGCUUGCUAUCCUUGUCGACGACCGGCGCACGGGUGAGUAACGCGUAUCCAACCUGCCCCCAACUAGGGAAUAACCUUGCGAAAGUAAGACUAAUACCCUAUAAUUUCCUCAGAUGUCAUCUGACGAGGAAUAAAGAUUUAUCGGUUGCGGAUGGGGAUGCGUCUGCUUAGCUUGUUGGCGGGGUAACGGCCCACCAAGGCAACGAUCAGUAGGGGUUCUGAGAGGAAGGUCCCCCACAUUGGAACUGAGACACGGUCCAAACGCCUACGGGAGGCAGCAGUGAGGAAUAUUGGUCAAUGGGCGGAAGCCUGAACCAGCCAAGUAGCGUGCAGGAUGACGGCCCUAUGGGUUGUAAACUGCUUUUAUACAGGAAUAAAGUUAGCCACGUGUGGUUAUUUGUAGGUACUGUAUGAAUAAGGACCGGCUAAUUCCGUGCCAGCCGCCGCCGUAA